AUGCUUACUUCAGCAGCAUAUAUACAAAAAUUGGAAUGCCAGAGAAAAUGUUAGCAUGGCCUGUGCACGAGGAUGACAUGUAAAUUUGUGAAGUGUUUCUUAUGUGC